AUGCGCCUCAAUGUAAUGUUGCGCGUUGAGCUGCGCUCGUGCGCUGCUGGCGGCUGAAAUGCAGUCUCUCAUAUCGCCAGUAUCUAAGGCUAUCCUUGUUGCACUAUUUAUUUUUGCGAUUUUACUCAUCCUCUAUGUAAUACUGUGGUAUAUAUGCAGAGACGUGGACUGUGAUCAUGGCAUUUGAUUUGGGGGAUUGUCCAGCUGACCGGAAUAUCUUCGCGCUCGAGAUGAGGUCAGGGUGACCCCGCUUCACAUGAAAAGAGGACGGUCUCUCCGCUGUGAAGAAGAUUCGUGAGGAGAACAGUGACGCUCACGACUCCAGCUGAAGGUGCGGAGAGUGUCGUCUUUGCUGCCGUCUCCUCUGAUCUGGAGACAGUUGGCGGAUGUCACCUGUAUGAACUGUAUCGUCAUCAACCUCUUAUGAUGAAGAACUUCCGUCUCAACUCUGGAGAAACACCUGCCAUCCACUGGGCCUCCAAAACUCACUGUGUGUUCAAUGUUCCACAAGACAACAUCAGCAGAACUUACUUGAAAACAAAUGAACGAUUCCUUCUACACCCUCGAUUCUGUUGAUACCUUCUUCCGAGUGUUGACGCCAUAUUUAUGUUGACAAUUUACCAAAGAGCUGUGAUUGGCUGUCAUACAAAGAAGGAAUCUGUAAAUAGUUGUCAUGUAGCGUCUAUGAGAUAUUAGAUGGAUUACCAUGAAUUACUUUCUUCAUACACUGUGUGUUCGUGUCUUACUGUUUGAACUUCUGUUUGAUCUUCCAGAGGAAAAAAAUGCUACAUGCACUGUGUUGACACGUCCUGUCAGUCCAUUAAAUCGGCCUUGAUGUCAUAUGUGUGAUGUCACUGUGCUUUUGAUGUUUGUCUGUAAAUGGCACAGUCAUUUUUUAAGUUGUCAUCUGUUGUGUUGUAACUGCUCGUGAAGUCAUUUAUCCUUUUCACAGGAAGCUUAGAACAAAGAUUUGGUUUCCAGUCGUAACAGGACCAACUCCAUCUUAUGAAAAGUUGCAAAAAAUAUCAUGAGAUGGUGAAUUCGUACAAGUUGGCCCGUAUAAAAACAUACGACUUGGGAAAAAUUUUAAUAAAAUCGCUCAGUUUCAUUUCUUUUUCUCAAGUUUAACCCUUACCCAAAGCCUAAACUUAACCGUUAUUUGAAUAGGAAAAUAACUUUUGUGUACCACGGAAGAAAGAAAACAUCUGGGUUUUGAACGAGAUUAGGGAAGCGUAUCACAGGUUAUUUCUUUUUUAUUUAUUUUUUUAUUUUCUCCCCUUUUCUCCCCAAUUUGGAAUGCCCAAUUCCCAAUGCGCUCUAAGUCCUCGUGGUGGCGUAGUGACUCGCCUCAAUCCGGGUGGCGGAGGACGAAUCUCAGUUGCCUCAGCGUCUGAGACCGUCAAUCCGCGCAUCUUAUCACAUGACUUGUUGAGCGCGUUACCGCGGAGACAUAGUGCGUGUGGAGGCUUCACGCUAUUCUCCACAGCAUCCACGCUCAACUCACCACACACCCCACC